CGCCUUGCCAGCCCGCUCAGAACUUAAAGGAAUGACGGGGGCCCGCACAAGCGGUGGAGUAUGUGGUUUAAUUCGAUGCAACGCGAAGAACCUUACCUGGUCUUGACAUCCCGGAGACCCUUAGGAAACUAGGGGGUGCUUCCAUCUGGAAGAAUCUGGAGACAGGUGCUGCAUGGCUGUCGUCAGCUCGUGUCGUGAGAUGUUGGGUUAAGUCCCGCAACGAGCGCAACCCUUGCCUUUAGUUGCCAGCAGUUCGGCUGGGCACUCUAAAGGGACUGCCGGUGUUAAACCGGAGGAAGGUGGGGAUGACGUCAAGUCCUCAUGGCCUUUAUGACCAGGGCUACACACGUACUACAAUGGCCGAUACAAAGGGCAGCGACACUGCGAGGUGAAGCCAAUCCCGUAAAAUCGGUCUCAGUCCGGAUUGGAGUCUGCAACUCGACUCCAUGAAGUUGGAAUCGCUAGUAAUCGUGGAUCAGCAUGCCACGGUGAAUACGUUCCCGGGCCUU
rnacentral:rRNA from 1 species